rnacentral:rRNA from 1 species
UACGAAGGGGGCUAGCGUUGUUCGGAAUUACUGGGCGUAAAGCGCGCGCAGGCGGCCAUUCAAGUCAGGGGUGAAAGCCCAGAGCUCAACUCUGGAACUGCCCUUGAAACUGUAUGGCUUGAGUAUGAGAGAGGUGAGUGGAAUUCCAGUGUAGAGGUGAAAUUCGUAGAUAUUGGGAAGAACACCGGUGGCGAAGGCGGCUCUCUGGACCGAUACUGACGCUGAGGCGCGAAAGCGUGGGGAGCAACAGGG